GACGAACGCUGGCGGCGUGCUUAACACAUGCAAGUCGAACGGAAAGGCCCUGCUUUUGUGGGGUGCUCGAGUGGCGAACGGGUGAGUAACACGUGAGUAACCUGCCCUUGACUUUGGGAUAACUUCAGGAAACUGGGGCUAAUACCGGAUAGGAGCUCCUGCUGCAUGGUGGGGGUUGGAAAGUUUCGGCGGUUGGGGAUGGACUCGCGGCUUAUCAGCUUGUUGGUGGGGUAGUGGCUUACCAAGGCUUUGACGGGUAGCCGGCCUGAGAGGGUGACCGGCAACAUUGGGACUGAGAUACGGCCCAGACUCCUACGGGAGGCAGCAGUGGGGAAUAUUGCACAAUGGGCGGAAGCCUGAUGCAGCAACGCCGCGUGCGGGAUGACGGCCUUCGGGUUGUAAACCGCUUUCGCCUGUGACGAAGCGUGAGUGACGGUAAGGGGUAAAGAAGCACCGGCUAACUACGU
rnacentral:rRNA from 1 species